ACACCGUUGGUGAAGUGGUUAUCAUGCUUGCCUUCCAUUCCAUAGAGUUGAAAAGCAGAGCAAGCGGCUCGGGUUCGAUUCCCGAACGGUGUA